rnacentral:precursor_RNA from 1 species
AUGAAUAAAAUCCCUGAGACUGAUAAUUGCUCUAGUUAUUAUAUCAUUAAUGAGUUUACAAUAAGGGCAAUUAUUAUUCUCAGGUGUAUCAUUCAUGA